AGUCUGCAACUCGACUACAUGAAGCUGGAAUCGCUAGUAAUCGCGAAUCAGCAUGUCGCGGUGAAUACGUUCCCGGGUCUUGUACACACCGCCCGUCACACCAUGGGAGUUGGUAACGCCCGAAGCCAGUGACCCAACCUUAAGAGGAGGGAGCUGUCGAAGGUGGGACCGAUAACUGGGGUGAAGUCGUAACAAGGUAGC
rnacentral:rRNA from 1 species